UCCGACGGGGCUGGAGGACGAAUAUGGACCCUCUAAUUUCAGAUCUGAGGGCUGAAAUUGGAGAGGGAGUGGGGAUCUUGGGAUUGGAGGGAUGUGGGGCUAGAAGUAAGGGUGUUUUAGGGGACGGCUGCAAAUUUGGCUAGGGGAAUCCUAGUUGAGUGAGAAUCUCUCUUCACAAGGUGGAUUUAUAUAGGGAAUGGUUUAUGUUGGAAUGGACCUCGUCCGUCCGAUCGCGAUCCGACGACCAUGAAUGGAGGAACGGGCUAGGUGGGUCUAGUGGGUUGUGUAGAUGGGCUAGGUGGGGAUGAGAGAGAAGGUUGUGGCCCAUGAAAGAGUUUUUAUAAACCGAAAACGUCCAACAAUUUGACGACUAUAGUGUCGCUAUACAUUUAA
rnacentral:lncRNA from 1 species